AUUGAACGCUGGCGGCAUGCUUUACACAUGCAAGUCGAACGGCAGCGCGGUCUUCGGCCUGGCUGCCAGUGGCGAACUGGUGAGUAAUGCAUCGGAACGUGCCCAGCUGUUUUGGAUAGCCCGGCGAAAUCGGGAUUAAUACGCCAUACGACCUUACGAUGUAAGCGGGAGAGCGGAAGGCCUCGGGCUAUUGCACGGGCGGAUGUCGGAUUAGCUAGUUGGUGGGGUAAAGGCUUACCAAGGCGACGAUCCGUAGCUGGUCUGAGAGGACGACCAGCCACACUGGGACUGAGACACGGCCCAGACUCCUACGGGAGGCAGCAGUGGGGAAUUUUGGACAAUGGGGGCAACCCUGAUCCAGCCAUGCCGCGUGCGGGAAGAAGGCCUUCGGGUUGUAAACCGCUUUUGUUGGGGAAGAAAUGCACUGGGCUAAUACCCCGGGGGGAUGACGGUACCGGAAGAAUAAGCACCGGCUAACUACGUG
rnacentral:rRNA from 1 species